GACGAACGCUGGCGGCGUGCUUAACACAUGCAAGUCGAACGGAAAGGCCCUGCUUUUGUGGGGUGCUCGAGUGGCGAACGGGUGAGUAACACGUGAGUAACCUGCCCUUGACUUUGGGAUAACUUCAGGAAACUGGGGCUAAUACCGGAUAGGAGCUCCUGCUGCAUGGUGGGGGUUGGAAAGUUUCGGCGGUUGGGGAUGGACUCGCGGCUUAUCAGCUUGUUGGUGGGGUAGUGGCUUACCAAGGCUUUGACGGGUAGCCGGCAUGAGAGGGUGAACGGCCACCUUGGGACUGCGGUACGGCGCAGACUGCAACGGGAGGCAGCAGUGGAGAACAUUGCACAGUGGGCGGAAGCCUGAUGCAGCAACGCCGCGUGCGGGAUGACGGCCUUCGGGUUGUAAACCGCUUUCGCCUGUGACGAAGCGUGAGUGACGGUAAUGGGUAAAGAAGCACCGGCUAACUACGUG
rnacentral:rRNA from 1 species